AUGCCGCGUGAGUGAGAAGGCCUUUGGGUUGUAAGCUCUUUUGUAGGGGAAGAUAAUGACUGUCCCUAAGAAUAAGGUCCGGCUACUUCGUGCCAGCAGCCGCGGUACUACGAAGGGACCUAGCGUGGUUCGGAAUUACUGGGCGUAAAGCGCGCGUAGGCCGUUGAGUUAGUUAAUUGUGAAAUCCCAAAGCUUAACUUUGGAACUGCAAUUAAAACUGCUCGACUAGAGUUUGAUAGAGGAAAGCGGAAUACAUAGUGUAGAGGUGAAAUUCGUAGAUAUUAUGUAGAACACCAGUUGCGAAGGCGGCUUUCUGGGUCAACACUGACGCUGAGGCGCGAAAGUAUGGGUAGCAAAGAGGAUUAGAUACCCUCGUAGUCCAUACCAUAAACGAUGAUUGCUAGAUGUAGGAAAUUUAUUUUCAGUAUCGCAGCUAACGCAUUAAGCAAUCCGACUGAGGAGUACGACCGCAAGGUUAAAACUCAAAUGAAUUGACGGGGACCCCGCACAAGCGGUGGAGCAUGUGGUUUAAUUCGAAGAUACGCGCAGAAACUUAACAACCCUUGACAUGUCUGUCGCGAGUUUAGG
rnacentral:rRNA from 1 species